rnacentral:lncRNA from 1 species
GUCAUGGACCUCGUGUGAAAAGAACAUGAAAAACCUGUGGUUCUUCCUCCCCCUGGUGGCAGCUCCCAGAAGGGUCCUGUCCCAGGUGCAGCUGCAGGAGUGGGGCCCAGGACUGGUGAAGCCUUCGGAGACCCUGUCCCUCACAUGCGCUGUCUCUGGCAAGAAAGGAGGACGACAGGCCUGGUGCGGUGGUGUAUGCCUGUAAUCCCCGCACUUUGGGAGGCCGAGGCGGGUGGAUCACCUGACGUCUGGAGUUCGAGACCAGCCUGACCAACAUGGAGAAACCCCGUCUCUACUAAAAGUACAAAAUUAGCCAGGCGUGGUGGCGCAUGCCUGUAAUCCCAGCUACUCCGGAGGCUGAGGCAGGAGAACGGCUUGAACCUGGGGGGCGGAGGUUGCUGUGAGCCGAGAUCGUGCCAUUGCACUCCAGCCUGGGCAACAAGAGCAAAACUCCGUCUAAAAAAAAAUAAAAGGAAGAAGACAAAUUUUCCUCUUACAGUCGAAGUAUCAACAAUACUAGGAACUUUCCUACGAGUUCCUGAAUGGCCCCUUUUUUCCUUCUUGAU